rnacentral:lncRNA from 1 species
AUGGCCACAGACUUUCCAAACCAUGGUUUCUCUGUGUUUGAAGACAAGUAUAAUGGGUCCUCCAAACUGUCUGCUGUUCUUCUGCAGCUGUUCCAACACUGCUCUCUUUCUAGGAGAUGGUGCCAGCUUUUGAGGAGGUGGAAGACAGAUGUUGCUCCCGUGGAUGGCUGCCAGAUGCUGCUGAGCCUAGACAGGCGGUCUCUGCUGCACAUUGCUCAUCACUCCACCAACUCCAGUGCCCGGCUCAGAUAAACUCAUCGAUAGAUAGACUCCCCAGCCCCCACCCCAGCUCUUUUAGCAAAGACAGACGUCUUUUACUCUAGAACAGCAGAAAAGCCUCUCCUUUCUUCAAGGGAAUAUAGCCAAUAGCCAAGUGGCUACUGAGACCUCUGAUCUCACUGACAGCAGACUCUCAGCCCCAGAUGCCAAGCUCUUUAGAAGGAAGAAUAGGGUUGUCUCAAAAACUAAUGCCCUUGGGCUUAAUCUUUUGACUCCUCUUCCUGGUGUGGAAUUUGAAGCCUUCUGUCACAGAUUGCAUCCUAGCUUAUGGUGAGUAUUUUAUAAACGUCACAAUUGUC